rnacentral:rRNA from 1 species
UUAAUGGUCGAUCCUGCCGGAGUAAUGAAUUUACGGAGUGCGAAUUCGCCCUGCUCGUUGCUUCUUUUAAGACUCGUCCUUGCUAACGCAGUUCCACGUGGGCACGCUACCCGGUUUCCGUACAUCACCUCGGGAAAUUGUGGCUAGUCCCCGAUACAGCUAGCAUGCUGUAGUGCAGCGAGUUGGAAACGUCCUGGUGCCGCUCGAUGUGGCUGCUUUCGAUUAGGUAGACGGGGGGGUAACGCCCCACCGUGCCUAUAAUCGGUACGAGUCAUGAGACUGAGAGCCCGGAGACCGUAUCCNAGACAAGAUACNGUCNCUUACGGUGCGCAGGAGGCGCNAACUCUUUACACUCCCCAACAGUNCNAUAGGGNGAUUCCGAGUGCGAGGGCAUACAGUACUCGCUUUUGUGUACCGUAAGGUNGNACAGGAACAAGUGGUGGNCAAGACCAGUGCCAGNCGCCGCGGUAAUACCGGCUGCACGAGUGAUGGCCGAUCGU